UCGCUCAACUAGCUAACGUUACUGAGCUAGCUAGCUAGUUAGUCUUAUAAACAUAGUGAUAGAUAAUUGAAAUAACGCUAUUUAUUUUUCACUAUUUUGUCAUUAACAGAAUUGUCUAUUAGUUAAACCUGAGUAAGAAUUCUUACUAAUAGACAGUACUCAACCUAACCACUAUUGUUGCCUUUUAUCGGUGUGUGGGGUUGCCUGUUCAAAUAAUAUUAGGUAACGUUAUGGGUAACCACAGUGGUAACAAUGUAACGUUAAACAUACCCAGUUUACUCUUAUAUAGGACCAAGAAAAGCAUGGAAUCCGCAUAUUUGAGAAGCCGGAACAAGCAAAUGUUUGGUAUUUGUGCUUGGGAAAUUCAAAUUACCCAAGAGAGUAAUUUAUUAUCUGAAUAGAUGUCAGUGUCUUAUCUGUAGACCCACUAAUACAAUUAUCGACCAGUUCAUUUCAGCUUUAAUGUGUGCCAUUUCAAUUUUAAUGACUGAUGAGACAUUGCCUUCAUGAUGCAGUUUUUUGUGAGGAAUUUAAUUUACCAGUAAUUGGAUUUAAAUCAUAAACAUAAAGUCCGAGGUAGAGGUAGGCUGAGGUGAAUACUUUUUGCAGGUACUGAGUGUUUUUACAGCACAAUGCAGUGAUAUUGGUGCUGACAUUUG